CAGAAAAUAGUUUAAUUAAAAGCAAUUUAUUUACAUUAAAAAGAUACUGUUAAGUUUUUUUGA
rnacentral:tRNA from 1 species